AACGAACGCUGGCGGCAUGCCUAACACAUGCCAGUCGAACGAGACCUUCGGGUCUAGUGGCGCACGGGUGCGUAACGCGUGGGAACCUGCCCUUAGGUUCGGAAUAACUCCCCGAAAGGGGUGCUAAUACCGGAUAAUGUCUUCGGACCAAAGAUUUAUCGCCUUUGGAUGGGCCCGCGUUGGAUUAGCUAGUUGGUAGGGUAAAAGCCUACCAAGGCGACGAUCCAUAGCUGGUCUGAGAGGAUGAUCAGCCACACUGGGACUGAGACACGGCCCAGACUCCUACGGGAGGCAGCAGUGGGGAAUAUUGGACAAUGGGCGAAAGCCUGAUCCAGCAAUGCCGCGUGAGUGAUGAAGGCCUUAGAGUUGUAAAGCUCUUUUACCCGGGAUGAUAAUGACAGUACCGGGAGAAUAAGCUCCGGCUAACUCCGUG
rnacentral:rRNA from 1 species